UUGGGAAUCUUCCGCAAUGGACGCAAGUCUGACGGAGCAACGCCGCGUGAGUGAAGAAGGAUUUCGGUUCGUAAAACUCUGUUGUUAGAGAAGAACAGCGCAUAGAGUAACUGUUAUGCGUGUGACGGUAUCUAACCAGAAAGCCACGGCUAACUACGUGCCAGCAGCCGCGGUAAUACGUAGGUGGCAAGCGUUGUCCGGAUUUAUUGGGCGUAAAGCGAGCGCAGGCGGUCAAUUAAGUCUGAUGUGAAAGCCCCCGGCUCAACCGGGGAGGGUCAUUGGAAACUGGUUGACUUGAGUGCAGAAGAGGAGAGUGGAAUUCCAUGUGUAGCGGUGAAAUGCGUAGAUAUAUGGAGGAACACCAGUGGCGAAGGCGACUCUCUGGUCUGUAACUGACGCUGAGGCUCGAAAGCGUGGGUAGCAAACAGG
rnacentral:rRNA from 1 species